UCAAUUCUAUAACAUUACUCAAUGAUUUUAAUUUCAGCACAAAAGUGAUACAUUUUAACACGAAGCAACUG
rnacentral:tRNA from 1 species